rnacentral:rRNA from 1 species
AAAGCGUGCGCAGGCGGCUUUGCAAGACAGAUGUGAAAUCCCCGGGCUCAACCUGGGAACUGCAUUUGUGACUGCAAGGCUAGAGUACGGUAGAGGGGGAUGGAAUUCCGCGUGUAGCAGUGAAAUGCGUAGAUAUGCGGAGGAACACCAAUGGCGAAGGCAAUCCCCUGGACCUGUACUGACGCUCAUGCACGAAAGCGUGGGGAGCAAACAGGAUUAGAUACCCUGGU